rnacentral:rRNA from 1 species
UACGGGGGGGGCAAGCGUUGUUCGGAAUUACUGGGCGUAAAGGGCUCGUAGGCGGCCAACUAAGUCAUACGUGAAAUCCCUCGGCUUAACCUGGGAACUGCGUCUGAUACUGGGAGGCUUGAGUAUGGGAGAGGGAUGUAGAAUUCCAGGUGUAGCGGUGAAAUGCGUAGAUAUCUGGAGGAAUACCGGUGGCGAAGGCGGCAUCCUGGACCAUUACUGACGCUGAGGCGCGAAAGCUAGGGGAGCAAACGGG